CUGCGGCAUGUGGGAUCUUCCUGGACUGGGGCACGAACCCGUGUCCCCUGCAUCGGCAGGCGGACUCUCAACCACUGCGCCACCAGGGAAGCCCCAUGACUGGACUCUUGACCCACCGGAGCUGGUCUGCUGCCUGGGAAGUUAACUGUGUACUUGGAGAGGCGAUAAAUGAAGCUCUGCUGCGGGGCUCAGAGAUUGGGAGAUCUCCUGUACAGACACCAAGGCUGUCCUGAGAGUCCGACCAUCCUUAGAAGCCAGAAACUUGGCCAUGGGAAGCAAAUUAAUAUUGUUUAUGUUUCAUUCAUCCGCAUAUUUAAAGGCCUCAAGGAAAUGAUUCUUAAUCUUUUCUGGGUCAUAGACCGCAAUGAGAAUUAAAAAGCUGCACGUAUGCCUAUAGCCCCACUUGCACGCUGUUUUUUGUUAUCAGGCGUGGGGUGUGGGUGUUGCAGAUUCCCUGAGCCUACUCAUGGCUCCCUUGGAAAGUUUAUGAACUGACACCAGCUCUUCCCAAGUGGGACAUCUUGAAGGUAAAGCCAGGGAGUGAAGGAUGGGGGAAGAUAUGAGUGAACAUUUUCAUCCUUUCAGACUGUUAUGCGUUUGGCCGUAAAAGGAUCAAAAGACGAGUCCUUGUGACAAUUCUUCCAGCUUCAAGUUUUUCAGAGUGAAGAACCUAUGAACCUCUUAUAAAAGCUCAAUCUGUCAUGCCUUAGGAGGCUGCCUACCAUCAUCUGUGGAAUCUCAAGAUGUGGAAUCUCAAUGCAGAACUUGAGCAAAAAUGAGGGGGAAAAAAACUGUAGACCAAUAUUCCUCAUACAUGCAAAAAUUAACAAUAUUCUAUCAAACUGAUUUCAACAAUAUAUUAAAAAAUAACACAUCA